UCUAUUUUUUUUAUAGUUAACAUAUACAGCACGGUUUUCAGAUCUAAUCAGGUCAUCAUCUGCAGCCCAAUGACAGAGCCGUCGUCAGCAGAGUGGGGCUCUGGCCUCUUUGACUGCAUGGAAGACAAGUUGUCUUGUUGCUAUGCUCUUUGGUGCUGGCCAUGCUAUGCGAUCACCAUUUCAAAAUCACUUGGAGAGAACCCUUUCCUCCCGAUUUUGGACAUGUGCUCCCCUGGGGCACUAUCCAUCCUCGGGAUACCAUUGUUUGUUGCUCCCGUAGCCUUGUCAUUCAGGAUUACCAUGAGAAAGAAAUAUGGAAUUGAGGGGACUCUCCAGAGAGACAUCGUACACACUUGUUUCUGCAACCUAUGUGUCUGGUGUCAGAUUGAUCGUGAGCUAAAACAUCGUAAGAAU